ACCACCGUGCAAAUUCUGUUGCAGGGCACAUCGCGUCAGACCUUCAAGUGCUCUGUUUGUGCCAAAUCAUUACCACUUGCCACAUGAGUCUAAAUCAUGACGGAUGCCAAGUAUGUCCUCUGCCGAUGGAAAAAGCGAUUAUGGCCUGCAAAGGUCUUGUCUGGAAAUGAGAAGUCAGCAAAAAAUAAGAGAAAAAAGGAAUUUUUUCUAAAUGUUCAGAUACUCUCCCUAGACAAAAAAAUUACGGUGAGAAGCUCGGGGGCCAAGAUCCUGAAGAAGGCUCACAUUGAAGGCAUCGCUUCCUCACUAGCUUCCCCGAACCAGGUCCCCGUCGCGCCCCUGGAGGAGUUGGCCUACAGACGAUCGCUUCGGGUGGCUCUGGAUGUUUUGAACGAGAGAACACACUUGUGUCAGGAAAGCUCUUUGACAGCAGAAAGGCCCACUCUGUCUCCAAGGGUGAAGCCUGCGGGGCUCGCCCCCUUGCUCCGAGACCCUAGCUCUUUGCCUUUGCUCCAUGAGGACAUGUCGGGCCAGCUCGGGCCUGAGAGGAGGGGGUGUGCACACCAGGGGCCGUCAGCUUCACCCACUCAUGAAAGGGACCCCACGUGCAAAGUGGACCCCAAGAAGAGGCUUGGGACAGGGGGAAGCCCACCCAACCCGGUGGUCUCCUCGGGCGGUGGUGGUUCUCAGGACAGUCGUGGAUCAAGAGUACAGCGGAAAACCCGGAGCACCCUGAGUAAGAGGAGGAGGAAUCCAGCUCAGGAGAGCGGCUUGUGUCAGAAGGCCCCUCUGUCUUCAGAGGGAGCUGGUGAAGAGGAGAGUGAGAUGAGGGCAGGCGGCCUGGUGGGCCUGCACUCGCCUCCCAGAGCUGCGGAGGAGGGUCCAUCUGGCCCGUGAGGGCCACCUGGAGGUGCCUUUGGGUGGCCCCUCUGUCCCAGAUGCUCACGGCCGCCCCGCCGAGCAGCUGUGCCCGGGUGGCAGCCAGAGGCUGAGGGUACAUGUGGCUCCACGCAGCCCCGCAGAGGAGACUGGAAGCGUCCGUCUCACCGAGGAAGCGGAGCCCGGCGGAGCACCUCGGCUGGUACGGCGGUAACGCUGUGUCUGCUCCCUGAGGAUUAACUCUUUCAUUCUUCACUGUUGUGGGAGCCAUCAUGCAUUCCCGUUAAAUUGGCAGGAAUCUCAAAAGUGAUUAACUCACUUAAAAGGCUCCUGACUUUUUCAGAGUUCCUGUGUAGACGUAUUUCUGUGUGGCUGCAGCCCUGUGCUGUGCUGUUCUUCUUUUGGACAUUGUAGCAUCCCACUUAGUUUUGAAAUGCUAAUGCAGGGAUCUUAAUUUCUGCGUGGUUGGGUACCCCGAGCUCUCCUGCUCCACACAGACCCGUACUCGGCGUUUCUGCCUUUAUUCUGCUCCUUUCAAGAGGCUGCCUCCCUGGCUCAUUGGAAGCGCAGAAACAGGAGCCCCUGAGCCGUUUUCUUCAGAGGAGGUGGCUGCCUGCCACCUUGUCCCAGAGCCGCGCUUCCCCCCACCCCCAAUCCCGGGUGGUCUGGCUAAGGGGCA